GUGGGGAAUAUUGGGCAAUGGGGGAAACCCUGACCCAGCGACGCCGCGUGAGGGAAGAAGGCCUUAGGGUCGUAAACCUCUGUUGUGUGGGAAGAAGAGCGUGACGGUACCACACGAGGAAGUCCCGGCUAACUACGUGCCAGCAGCCGCGGUAAUACGUAGGGGACGAGCGUUGUCCGGAUUUACUGGGCGUAAAGGGCGCGUAGGCGGUCAUUUAAGUCAGCUGUGAAAUGGUGCGGCUUAACCGCAUCAUGCGGUUGAAACUGGAUGACUGGAGUGCUGGAGAGGCAAGUGGAAUUCCCAGUGUAGCGGUGAAAUGCGUAGAUAUUGGGAAGAACACCGGUGGCGAAGGCGACUUGCUGGCCAGCAACUGACGCUGAGGCGCGAAAGCCAGGGGAGCAAACGGGAUUAGAAACCCUAGUAGUCC
rnacentral:rRNA from 1 species